UACAGAGGGUGCAAGCGUUGUUCGGAAUUACUGGGCGUAAAGCGCGUGUAGGUGGCGAUGUAAGUCGGGUGUGAAAUCCCCUCGGCUCAACCGAGGAAGUGCACUCGAUACUGUGUCGCUUGAGUGUUGGAGGGGAUGGCGGAAUUCCCGGUGUAGAGGUGAAAUUCGUAGAUAUCGGGAGGAACACCUGUGGCGAAGGCGGCCAUCUGGACAACUACUGACACUGAGACGCGAAAGCGUGGGUAGC
rnacentral:rRNA from 1 species